rnacentral:rRNA from 1 species
UUUCCGUAGGUGAACCUGCGGAAGGAUCAUUGUCGAUACCUUGUCGUAUGACCCGCGAACAAGUUUAAUCACUGCGGAUGGAGCCCUGUGCUCCUGAAGCAAGGUCCCCUGGGGUGCUAUGCUCCUUGCGGAGGCCAGUAAACAAACCCCGGCGCGGAAAGCGCCAAGGAAAAUGAACAGAAAAGCGAGAUCUCUACAAUCACCUCGGAAACGAUGUGUGCAUGGUAGUUGUUUCUCCUUUCAUAACCAAAACGACUCUCGGCAACGGAUAUCUCGGCUCUCGCAUCGAUGAAGAACGUAGCGAAAUGCGAUACUUGGUGUGAAUUGCAGAAUCCCGUGAACCAUCGAGUCUUUGAACGCAAGUUGCGCCCAAAACCCUCGGGUCGAGGGCACGUCUGCCUGGGUGUCACGCAACGUCGCCCCAUCACUCCCCUCAUGGGGUACUCGUGAAAUUGGGGCGGAAAUUGGCCUCCCGUGAACUUCAAGAUCGCGGUUGGCCCAAACAUGAGACCAUGUCGGUCAAUGCCGUGGCAUUCGGUGGUUGAAAAUACCCUCACAACGCCUCGUUCAUUGGCCGUACUACAAGGAUCUCACCGACCCUACUUAUCCGACGCGACCCCAGGUCAGGCGGGAUUACCCGCUGAGUUUAA